GACGAACGCUGGCGGCGUGCUUAACACAUGCAAGUCGAACGGAAAGGCCCUGCUUUUGUGGGGUGCUCGAGUGGCGAACGGGUGAGUAACACGUGAGUAACCUGCCCUUGACUUUGGGAUAACUUCAGGAAACUGGGGCUAAUACCGGAUAGGAGCUCCUGCUGCAUGGUGGGGGUUGGAAAGUUUCGGCGGUUGGGGAUGGACUCGCGGCUUAUCAGCUUGUUGGUGGGGUAGUGGCUUACCAAGGCUUUGACGGGUAGCCGGCCUGAGAGGGUGACCGGCAACAUUGGGACUGAGAUACGGCCCAGACUCCGACGGGAGGCAGCAGUGGGGAAUAUUGCACAAUGGGCGGAAGCCUGAUGCAGAAACGCCGCGUGCGGGAUGACGGCCUUCGGGUUGUAAACCGCUUUCGCCUGUGACGAAGCGUGAGUGACGGUAAUGGGUAAAGAAGCACCGGCUAACUACGUG
rnacentral:rRNA from 1 species